rnacentral:tRNA from 1 species
GGCCGACUGGCGUAGCGGUUAUCGCGUCUCUUUUACAUCUCUCGAGGAUGCAGAGAAGGUCACUAGUUCGAUCCUGGUGUUGGUCA